UCCAAUGCUGCCGUUUUAAGGUCAAUCAGCAUCCUGUCGCAGAAGUUAUGCCCGUUGUACUGAAGAGUGGUCAGUCUACCUCGCGAGAGAAAGCUGUCGAGGAGAUGAAGGACUGUCGAUCAACGGUACACCCUUGCCAUCGAUCGACAGUGAUGCCAGAACGUGGUCUGAGCAUAUUUUAUGACCGACUGAAGCCCAGAAGCAACCACAAAUUACCAGAAUACCCUUGGACGACCUGAAACCCUAUUUAUG
rnacentral:lncRNA from 1 species